AGCAGGCUUGUAUUGCAGUGAGACAUGUUUCUAUCAGUGAGACGGUUUGUAUCACCCCAGCAGAUGGCAGCCUCAAAAACUACAGCACUUGUGUUGCUGCUUUAAACAAAGGCUGAUGAAUUGUUGGUGCUCUAAAGAAGGAUUGAAUUAAGGUUCCGUUGAGUUUGCCGUGCGUGUGGAGAUAGCUGAGGUGCAGUGGAGAGUGGAGACAGAGUCAGUACUGUGACCCCCCUGUAAACCACAGACCUCAGCACUGUCGGUUUGCACAUUGACAGGCUCCACUCCCUGUGGGUUUGGCUGGAGGUGGCCUGGAAUUGACCCACAGCCUGUGGGCGCUCAGGGGAGGCAGGCUCACCGGAUAUAUAGGCCUCUUUGGGCUUCUGCUGAUCGUCGGCCUGCUAUGGGACUACUUUG